UACUCUACAACUUGGUUAAGAUUAUUUAUUCUAAAUAAUCUUUUGUCGAAAAGUCGUUUUCGACCCCUAUUGCCUCUAAUUUGACUAGCCCAGAUUUGCGGGCGUUACAAUUAUCUCCCCCUUAGGAUGAUUACGUCCUGGAAUCAUCAACGAAAUAGGGUCGUAUAAUGACUCCAUACGUCAUCUCUUCAUCCUAGGUAAUAAUUAUAACUUCUACAUUCCUUCAAGUCUAUCUCUUAGACUCAUUGACUACAAGCAGUACUCGAUCGUGCACCUACUCUAUACCUCAGGUUAGACUAAUUAUGACCUUUAAGUCACAAUCUCGAUCCUUAAUAGAUACGAACUUGAGAUGAGUUCUUUUAUUACUACCAUAGAUCGAUGUGUCAUAUUCUAAUGACCUAGCAUCGUACGUUGCAACACUUAGACUUAAGUCUUUUAGAGUUAAACUUUGAAACAGACUAUGCCUUCCUUCAUGUUCUAAUGUGAUAUAAUCACACUUUAACAUUAGGCAUUUCUAGCCACCAACUUCUUUAACAACGAGUGCGAUACUUCUAUUGAUCGCUUUGAUUUCAACCGUUUGGUUUAAGUCGGACGCUACAUCAAACUUGGUUCUCUGAACCACACAACAUACUCAUCGUAGUCGGACUCGAUUCGAUAUGACCACUAGGGUCGGAAUAUCAACAAUCUUCUUAGUCAUUACCGAAACGAUGGUAACAACACACUUGAAUAAAACGAAAUCAAUUACUAGCUUCUUGGUAACCUUGUGACUUUCCCUGAUCCAAGUGUGAGUCCUGUGCUUCCGGUAGUAUAGGCCUCUACUACCAUUCACACCUACUCAUACUCGUCCCAAGUAUUGUCUCGCAGUUUCCCAAGUCACCAUGCAGCGAAUCAACUUAACACAUCAGAUAACGAAACAAAGGUUUUAUAUUAUUUCUUGAAAUGAUUACAUAGGUGUUCAAGUUCACCCUAGGCUAUGCCUCUAAUAGGCUACAUCAUACAAUACUAUGGCUACUGCAUAACUUGAUCUUCGGAUAUGAAGUCCUCAUCCUUGAUUCCUCGCACGGUUUUCUGCUUCGUCGAGGAUCAUGUGAAAUGCCCUUGGUUUCGGCGGUGCAUUUGGUCUUGCAGCUUCGUUUUUCUUUGGACAGUUCUUUGAAAUAUGCCCAUCAUUUCCACAUUCGUAGCACUUCUUGUUUUCGAAUGUACAAUCUCUGGAAUAGUGACCGGUCCUACCACACUUAUAGCACGUCACUUCACCAUCGCAUCUUCCGAAGUGUUUCUUCUUGCACUUCUCACACCACUUGGCUUCAUUCCUUCGGUCGUCCAGGUUAGACUUCGAGAACUUUCCCUUAUUAUCAGGUCUUGAGGAUCCUUCCGACUUCCUCUUCUCACCAACUUCAACUUUCUCCAGACCCUUUUCCCUUAUUUGGGUCUCAACAUUCUUGGCUGCCCAGAUGGCGGCUUUCAAAGUGGUUGCUUGUUUGACCAUUGGACCAAAGUCUGCUGGUAAUCCAUGGGCAAACUUAUUGACCUUGGAGAGUUCAGUUGGAACUAGAUAAGGAACAAGCUUCAUUUUCUCCGUAAAACUUGCAGCAUACUCGAUGACACUCAUCUUUCCCUUCUUUAGAUUCUGAAACUCGUUGUUGAUUUCCAGAAGAUCCUGUUCAGAGCAGUACUGCAUUUUUAGCUGCACCAGAAAAUCCUCCCAUGACAUCUUGUUCGCUUCUCCUUUGGGCAUCGAAUCAGCUAGUAGCUUCCACCAGCUUAGUACUCCAGAUUUCAACAGAGGAACCGCGAGAGCGGUCUUUUGCCUGUUGCUACACUCACAACUCUCAAACAUCGUCUCCAUCUCGGAGAUCCAGUUUAUGACUUCCACCGGCGUCGGGCUUCCAGAUAGACUCGGUGGUUUGGACGCCAUGAAAUCCUUGUAUUUGCAUCCACGUCCAUCAUUUCCUCCAUCCUGGUGGUUUUGCUUAACCAUUGGUGGGUUGGCUUGACCAACAGUCCCACUGUAGUUUCCCUCCUCAGUCUGCCCCUCGUUCAACUCGGGCCGUUCGAUCUGAAUGGUCGCUUCCUCUCGAUUUUGCUGGAGCAAACGCCUGGUUUCCUCCAUUUGACGAUCCAACAUCGCUUGGAUCAUCGCUUGCACUCCGGCCAUUGUGACUGGCUCAGCAGUGGCUUCCAUCACCGGUAUUUGCUCAAUCACUGGGGGUUGGUUUCUGUUCCCAUUUGCAUUUACGUUUCCGCUACGGGUUCUUACCAUCUUGAUCUAUACACCUAAUGAGGUGAAUCUAGACCUUUACUUAGGAUUGACGUUUAAAUCAUCCUUAUCACUCCGAAACGUUUACAUGCUAGUUCUAAUAUCGUAGUCGUACGUUUAGAAUCCUAAACACAUAAGGUUUCCAGAUCCGGUCGGCAACAGACCAUAGAUCCGAUCAAACUAUAGCAUAACAAAUCAUUUAGCACAUAAAAGCAAUUUAGGCAUCAUUCCUAAAAUAAGCUAGUGCUCACACCUCACAAUCAUCGCUUAGCAUUCUAAGUUUAAGUCUAGAAAUAAAUCCAUAUUCCUAGUUCGCUUAAACUAAUGCUCUGAUACCAACUGUGACAUCCCCAAAAUCACGGCCAGAAAAGACCGAUUUUGUUUAUGCUUUAUAAAAAUCAGAGUACUUCAUUUUAUAAAAAUGUUGCGGAAUUUGUUCCCAGAAAAACACGAUAAAUACGUUAUUAAAACAUUUUCGAAGAAACGUAUUUAUUUCAUUUUAAAACGUUUGGGAUGUCAUUGUUAAUACAGAAACAUAAGCAUAAACAGAACUUACAAUUAUUUACACUAGUGAUCUACAUCUCUUUAAAUCUCUCAGUGUAAUGUCACUUCAUAUCGUCACCUGUGAUGUAAAUAAACUGAGUGGGUCAGGUUGGGAAACCUGGUGAGUACAUAGGGUUUUCAACCCACAAUAAUAUAGUUAUUAUGUUUAAACAAUCAAACAAUCAACCCAAUUACCCAUCCCCAUUAUCUUCUUUUAGUCUUCCCUAAAGAUAUUAUCUCAAGGGUCAUCUCCUAUAUCAUAUUUACUUCUCAUCUCCUUACAUCGUAUUUCCUUAUAUGAUUGUUCCUACGAACUUUACCUAAGGAUCAUCGCCUACAUUGCAUAGACAAUACUAAUCCGGGGAUUACUCCCUCAAUAUGUGUCUAGCAAGAGUUAGGGUAUCAUCGCAUGAUUACGCAGCCACAACAUCGCCUGGACUUGUAAAUCAUGAUAAGGGUUAGUCUAUCAUCGCAUGAAUACGUAGCCACAACAUCGCCUGGACUCGUACUUCAUAAUAAGGGUUAGACUAUCAUCGCAUGAAUACGUAGUUACAACAUCGCCUGAACUCGUAAUUCAUCACCUACAGGUUGCUAGCCUGCUGGUGUUUCCACGGGGUUGUCUAUAAUAGUCCGUGGUCGCCAUCUAUACUCUGGUAGAUGACUACAUCUCCAAAUUGUCGGACAAGGUUGUAGUAUCCUACAUCACCGAUUCAUAAUCACCUAUCUAUCAUCACCUACCUAUCAUCACCUAUCUCUCAUUAUUUUAUUUCAUCACUCACCAACUAUUUCAUCUACCCAUGUUUUAUCCCAACAUAUUUGUAGAUAUAAAAUAAAUAUACAGUUUAAAUCAUUUAAAACAUGUAUAAAUCAUUCAUCCAGCAUAGACAACAAGUAUUCAAACAAUAUGCACACAUAGCACGUAAUUUAUAUUAAAAUACUUCAUAUCUAUGUGUAAGAUGAAAGGGACCAUGCACUCACCUGAGUAGGUGGUGACUCAACACUCGAACAGCGCUUCGAUACUCUCAAAACAAUUUCCUUCGAUAAAACCUAGUAUCAAUACCACUAGGGUUUAGUCUAACGAUAACCGCGACAAACUAAUAGUCUGACUAUUAUUAUUAUUAUAUAAGCGUUAAAUAACACUCAAUAUAACUCAUAAUAAUAGCCCAAAUACUCAUUAUAAGUUCCUAAUAAUGUUACUAUAUUAAAACAUAAGCUAUACUAAAGAUAGGUUAGGCGUAGCUCACUUACAGCGGGUUUUCUCGAAAACCGGGCUUCGCUGGAGCAGCGUUCCCGAGCCGAAAGGCUCUUUUCUCGGGACUCCGGGAGCCUCGGGGCUUCCUUCGGGUGCUAGGGGGUUUACCUAGGCUUUAGGGGGCUUAAGGAGGCUUAGAGAGAGAGUGUAGAGAGAGAAAGAAGAGGGUUGAGGUGUGAAGAGAAGGCUAGACCCGGCACCUCUAUUUAUAGUGCAAAAAUCUGAUGGACUCGCCGAGUAGGGGGGACCUACUCGCCGAGUUGGUCCAUGUGGUGGCCUUCUGGUGGUGCCACGUGUCCAAUUCUGGUGGUGCCACGUCACCCCCUAUCGCGUAUCAGCCUUCGAACUUAGAAAAAUCAUAACUUUCGCAUACGAGCUCCGUUUUCGACGUUCUUUAUAUCCACGCGUAGGUAAAAUCAAGAUCUACAACUUUCAUUUAGACUCCGUCGGCUAAUUCUCGACCGAUCUCAAAUUUAACAGUAGGAGGCGUUUAGACUGUUAAAUGACCGCGAAGAAUUCGUAACUCCUUCAUACGAACUCCGUUUUCGUCCAUCUUUUUACCGUUGAGUUCCUAUUAAUGAGAUCUUCAACUCUCAUUUAGGUCGCGUAAGCCAAAAACCGCUCGAACUAAAAUUCGAGUUUCGGGCCGUGCACUGCUAAGCCGAAUCUUAGAAAAAUCAUAACUUCCUCAUACGAAGUCAGAUUUGGGCGUUCUUUUUAUCGACGCUCUUAGUUUAAAAUAUUCUACAACUUUUGUUUAGAUUGCUAAGGCUAAAUCUCUCUCUAUCAUAAAUUCACUAUUUACGCUUCCCGGUAUCGUGCCGGUUUUGCCGUAAAACUUCGACGGGCCAUAACUUCUUCGUUAUAACUCGGAUUUCGGCGUUCUUUAUAUGUACGGAAACCUUGUGACAUAAUAUACAACUUGGUUAAGAUUAUUUAUUCUAAAUAAUAUUUUGUCGAAAAGUCAUUUUCGACCCCUAUUGCCUCUAAUUUGACUAGCCCGGAUCUACGGUCGUUACAAUUAUCUCCCCCUUAGGAUGAUUACGUCCUGGAAUCAUCAACGAAAUAGGGUCGUAUAAUGACUCCAUACGUCAUCUCUUCAUCCUAGGUAAUAAUUAUAACUUCUACAUUCCUUCAAGUCUAUCUCUUAGACUCAUUGACUGCAAGCAGUACU
rnacentral:lncRNA from 1 species